rnacentral:ncRNA from 1 species
ACAAAGAUAAAAACGCAACGUGCAUUCUUAUGGAUGUGCCAGAGCCGGUAGGUAGCCCGGCCGUCCUGUCCGCUGUGACAGGGUAAGUAACCUGCCCCUCCCGGGUUGUCCGUUCUUUGUUCAUAA